rnacentral:rRNA from 1 species
UACGGGGGGGGCAAGCGUUGUUCGGAAUUACUGGGCGUAAAGGGUUUGUAGGUGGCUCGCUAAGUCAGACGUGAAAUCUCGAGGCUCAACUUCGAGCUGUCGGUGGAAACUGUCUGGCUAGAGUCCGGAAGAGGAGAAUGGAAUUCCUGGUGUAGCGGUGAAAUGCGCAGAUAUCAGGAAGAACACCCGUGGCGAAGGCGGUUCUCUGGGACGGUACUGACGCUGAGACGCGAAAGCGUGGGGAGCGAACAGG